rnacentral:rRNA from 1 species
UACGUAGGGUGCGAGCGUUGUCCGGAAUUAUUGGGCGUAAAGAGCUUGUAGGCGGCUUGUCGCGUCUGCUGUGAAAAUCCGAGGCUCAACCUCGGACUUGCAGUGGGUACGGGCAGGCUAGAGUGCGGUAGGGGAGAAUGGAACUCCUGGUGUAGCGGUGGAAUGCGCAGAUAUCAGGAAGAACACCGAUGGCGAAGGCAGUUCUCUGGGCCGUAACUGACGCUGAGGAGCGAAAGCGUGGGGAGCGAACAGG